GGUAAGAUGGCUGAGAUUAAGCGGUGGAUUGUAGCCCCAUAUACAGAGGUUUAAGACCCUCUUCUUACCA
rnacentral:tRNA from 1 species